CACGUAGGGCGCAAGCGUUGUCCGGAAUUAUUGGGCGUAAAGAGCUCGUAGGCGGUCUGUUGCGUCCGCUGUGAAAACCCGGGGCUUAACCCCUGGCUUGCAGUGGAUACGGACAGACUAGAGGUAGGUAGGGGAGAAUGGAAUUCCCGGUGUAGCGGUGAAAUGCGCAGAUAUCAGGGAGGAACACCAGUGGCGAAGGCGACUACCUGGCCUGUUCUUGACGCUGAGGCGCGAAAGCUAGGGGAGCAAACGGG
rnacentral:rRNA from 1 species